GACGAACCGUGCGAACGUUAUUCGGAAUCACUGGGCUUAAAGCGCGUGUAGGCGGGUCGGCACGUCGGUCGCUGAAAUCCCCCGGCUCAACCGGGGAACGGGCGCCGAUACGACCGACCUGGAGGGGGGUAGGGGGAGCCGGAACUUCCGGUGGAGCGGUGAAAUGCGUUGAGAUCGGAAGGAACGCCCGUGGCGAAAGCGGGCUCCUGGACCCCACCUGACGCUGAGACGCGAAAGCGUGGGGAGCGAACAGG
rnacentral:rRNA from 1 species